rnacentral:rRNA from 1 species
UACGUAGGGUGCAAGCGUUAAUCGGAAUUACUGGGCGUAAAGCGUGCGCAGGCGGUUUUGUAAGACCGAUGUGAAAUCCCCGGGCCUAACCUGGGAACUGCAUUGGUGACUGCAAGGCUUGAGUGUGUCAGAGGGAGGUGGAAUUCCGCGUGUAGCAGUGAAAUGCGUAGAUAUGCGGAGGAACACCGAUGGCGAAGGCAGCCUCCUGGGAUAACACUGACGCUCAUGCACGAAAGCGUGGGGAGCAAACAGG